UUGAAACUUUACCUCGCCACUCCUUCCUUAGUGACGAGUUUGUCUAGCUGGACCCUAGAAGAUUCAUAGAUGGAUUCUCCCCUGAGCUUUGGCUAUUAGAGCUCAGAGCAAGGUCAGCCACAGGGAAGGGCAUCAGCUGGGACCUGAGUGUGCACUGCUUUACCUGGCACUGCCUAUUGUGAUGUCAUGGAAUCUCAGUCUAGAGACAGAAACUCUGUAGUGGAGGGGGCAUAGGCUUGAGAAAUGUCCCUAAUAUGGGGGCUCGCUUUCCCACUGCCGACACAUCUCAGCCUUAUGCUACUUGGUUUCUUGGUUUGUGGAAUAUGGGUUGUUUUCUAGGUAUCAGAGGUAGACACAGGUGGCAGCCAAGACAGAGGCUUCCAAGCAACAAAAUCUAAAACAAAUCUGGAAACUCACAGGUCAGAAUGAUUUUAUCCUUAUCGGGCAGCUCAAGGCUGAUGACUGAUCAACUGUGGACCUGCUUUAGGACUCUUUCCACUUGAAGUGGAAGAAAGUUGAAAAAGAGGGUGUGCCUGGAGAGUACACUCAUCUCCCUGACAUCUUUCCUUCCAAAGUCAUGCAGACAGCUCCAUCCUCCAUUGUUUCCUUUUCUUGGGCUUCUCUGUCCCUACAUCUUCAUGUAGAGCCCAAAGUAUGGGAGAGGAGAAUGGACACAGCCACAGACAGCAUAAAGGUCACUCCAUUGGCAUUGCUUCAGGUUAUGGACUCAAUGGGAAUAAGCCCAGAAGUCCACAAGGCACAGGACCAGAAGGAAUAGCCUCAAAGCUACAAUACCAAGUCAUGAAAUCAGUAAAGAUGAAUACAUUGCAUAAUUAUCAAGCCAUAAGACCAGGAAGUAUGAGUCUAGGGCCACAGCAGACAGUUGUGGAAGCUAUGGAAAUGAUUACCCAGUCUCAGCAUAAUGUCAUGGGAACACUGAUCAUGACCUUGAGUUCUUAGAAUCAAGCCACAAAACACCAGGAUUACUCCCAGUCCAGUACAUCAAAAUGCAAUGGAAAUUAGUUCAAGUGCACUGCCUGAAGCCAUUGAUGAUACAAAGUGACUCCAGUGGCAAAACAAGCCAUGGAUUUCAUGCAGAUAAUUCCACUAUGACAGCCACACAUUACUAAAUCUAGGGCUUUGAUCCAAGGCUCACAGCCUCCAGCUGAAAAUUUGACCCCAGUGUCAGCUCAACCAGAUGUUCCGACUUCUACUGUCCCAGUAGGAACUGUAGAAUCUAGAAGCAUACCUCCACAGCCACCAUCUAAAGUCCUGGGACCAUCAGGAAUGAUUGAUGACCUACUACCAUCAGGUUAAUCCCUGUAUACUCUAAAGGUGACCCCGCUAGUCAGGCAUCUCCCACGGGAAUGAUCACACCACUACAAGUUGUAGAGCCUCAAGUCAGAGAGUCUCUGCAAUUUGCCUUCUGGGUUACAGGGUCAAGUUAAAGACUCCGUGGGGAGUCUUAAGGCACAGAGUGUGUGUCAUUGACUCUAGGACUGUCUCAUCAGGUCACAGACUCUUUGGAGUUCACCCCAUGGCACCAAGACUUAAAUUAUUCGGAGGUGAGCCCAAGGCAAAGUCACAACAUGGCAGAAGCUAUGGGGUUGAACUGGCCACAAGUGAAGGAUCCUGUGGAGACACCAUAGUCACAUCAUCAAAUAAUGGAAUCCACGAGAACAAUCCCAGCACCACCAGAUCAAGGUGCAGUACCUAUAGGAAGGGGCCAAAAGCAUCAAAUUCCAGAAGCUGAAGUAGGGCCAGUCAUACCACUGCUUCAGGAAACGGAAUAUUUGGGGGGGGGGCACUGUCCCACAGUCUAAGGUUAGAGAUUCAAUGGACUUACCCCCAGAACUACAGAAUGUAAAAUCUGAGCACCUGAUCCCAGAUCCAAGAUUGCAAAGUAUGAAAUCUGUGGGCAUAAUCACAGAUUUAGUCCUAGAAAUGGAAAAAUAUGGACCACCAACCUCAACAGUGGUAUCUACAGAUUUGGCCCCAGAACUAAAUCAGCAGAAUACACAAUCUGAGGAAUUAACCCCCAUACCACAACUGCAAAGUGAGACAUCUGUGCCAUCAGCCCCUGAGUCUCAGUUUCAAGAUGUGAAUUCUGGCCAACUGACAGUUGAACCACAACUCCAAAACAAAAAGUCUGCUAGGUAGGCCCCAAGUCCACAGUUGUAAAGUAAAUAAAUCAGUACAUUUGAUCAACAACUCUCAGUCUCAAGGUAUGGAAGAAUGCUCUUUCAGCCCUAUCACAGGAAUUACAAGGUAAUUAAAAAUGGUGGAGUUGACUCCAAAUGAUCACUUGAAGGUAGAAAAUCUGUGAACUUGGCCCCAGAACCAUGUUCACAAAGCACCGGCUAUGAUAAGAUGGCCCCUGUACCAUUGCUUGAGGAUACAAAGACUCCAUUUGUAGAAGGUAGGAGUCUACUUCCUGAGGCACAGGUGGAGACUAUGGAAGUUGGUGAACUGAUCCCAAGCACACACUUUUAUGCAACAAAAUCUUUAGAAGCGACCCCCAAACCAAGUUAUCAUUUCCUAGAACCUGAAGGACUGACCCUACAGCAUCCAGCCUCAGAAGCAAGAGUGACCUCUGAUCCUUGCCAGCAGGUGGAAAAAUCUGCUCUGUUGCCACAAUCAUCAUUAGGGAUGAGUCCAACACCAUUGAGCCAGACCUCAGAAUCUGUGGAGAUGAGCUCACCACCACUCCAAGAGACUCUUGAACCUGGGACCCAAGUUGUGAAAGAGAUGGAAGAGACUCCAGAAUCAGGAAGUGCAAUUAAAGAUACUCUGGAUUUGCUACUAGAUUCAGAAGUGCAAACUAUGAUCUCAGGAGUGAUGGCCCCAGAGACACAGCCCCCAGAUGUGAAGUUUGUUCAGGUGACUCUAGAACUGUGUGCAGAAUUUGCUAACCCAUCGGAAAGAAUUCUGAGACAAGAAUAUGAAGACAGAGACCAUCAGGUUGACAUUGUCUAAAGUCGAUGAUACCCAGGGGACCAUUGUAGACCCAUAAUCAGAGAUGAGAUCUCUAGAGUUGAGUCUAGAACCAAGAGUGCAAGGUGUAAAGUCAGAGACCUUGGCCCAAAAUUUGAAAUCUGCAGAAGUAAUUGCUGAAUCACCUGAACAAGUUGUAGAACCUACAGAGCUAACUACAGAACCCUAACUGCAUAUUGAAGAUGGGAUCCCAGGGCCACAGCUCCAUGAAGUAAAGUCUAGGCAAAUGGAUAGAGAAUCACAGUUGCAGAAUGAGAAAUCUGUAGAUGUAAUGAAUGCAACAGUCACCUAUAGGAAAGGUAGAUCCUGAAAAGACAAAACCAGAGCCAGGGCUACAAAGUUUAUCACCAAAGGAACUGAUUGAGGGGCCACAGCCCCCAAAUGUGAAAUCUGUGGAUUUAAAUCUAGGGCCACAGCAGCUAAAUGUCAAAUCGGAAUUGAUUCUAGGGCCACAAUUGCAAAGUGUCCAAUUUCUAAAGUUAUAUCAAGAGCUACUUCUUCAAGGGGAAAACCCAGUAAAUUUCAUCUCAGGCCCCCCACAUUAUGGUGUGAACUCUGAUGAUGAAAUAUCAUGUUCCCCAGGGUCAGAAACCAGAUCAUCAGCAUUUCUUCUAGGGCCAAAGCCUCCAGAACCACAGCCACAGCCACAACCUGUGAAGUUGGUGGACAUAAACAUAAGACCAUGCUUGCAACAUGUGAGAUUCUCUGAUCCCGUCCUAGAGCCCAAGCACCAAGGUUUCAAAUGUGGACAAUUCACGCCAGGUAUUCAGCUUCAAGAUAGGAAGCCCUAGGGAUUGAUGCCAGAAUCAUUUUUGCCAUUAGGCCAAGAGAUGCACGUUGAAGAUAAGAAGCUUGUGUUGCCUCCGGAACUAUCAGAGUUUUGCAGCAUGAAACUCACAAUCCCAUCCUCUGAACUACAACAUCCAAGAGUGAUAGCUGAGGAGGUCAAUCCAGGACUGUGGCAACAAGACACCAAAUUUUCUGAGUUGGCUUCUAGAAUAAAACAUCAAGGGGCCCAAUUUGGGGAGCAAAUUUUGUCUUAUGGUAUGAGUCCUAUGGCUCCAGAGUUAGGGAUACAUGAUCCCAAAUCAGCAAAGGUGACUCCAGGCCUACAAGAUACAAGGCAGGUAAGUUUUAACUCAGGGCCAUGGCUGCACAAUGUCAAAUUUUUUGAUGUAAUUCCAGGAACUCAACCUCAAGCUGUGAAGACUUCAGAGUUUAACUCAGGGCCACGAUUAGAAUGUGUAAAAAUAUUUGAGUUGACCACACAGCCAGAGAGGCAAGGGAUGAAGCCAGAGUUAAUAGCACAAGAGCCACUCUUUCAAGAUAUACAAUAUGUCCCAGGGAAUCAAGUACCAAGCUUUGAAGACCCAAUGUCUUAUAAACUAGCCUCUGAGCCACACAUACCAAAUACAGAAUCAAUGAAAUUGACUCCUAGGAAACACUUAGCAGGUGCAGAUCAUUCUGAGUUGAUCAGAAGAUCAUAGGCACAAGGUGUAGAAUCUUCUGAAUUGAUCCACAGACAGCAUUUGGGACAUAUAAAACCUGUGAAGAAGAUCACA